rnacentral:lncRNA from 1 species
UGCUUGUUUCUCAGAAUCAAAACCUUUGUACAGAACUUCCUCAUAUCCCCAGCAGCCACAACAGCUUCAGCACUUCUCAAGUGAACCAAUUCCUGUACCCAAAUCAAAUUUCACAUCUUUCCCUCCUCCUGGUUGUUCGCCACACCACCUUAAUGUUGCUUCUCGUGCUGGUGGACUGCAGUCACACUUGUCUGCCCCGAAUCUGUCUCCUUUGUCAAACUCUAAUCUUCAUCUGGCUGGUUUACAGCAUGGGUUACAUUAUGGUGGAAAUCUGGCCCAGAUCACGUCUCCUGGCCUUUCUUUUAAUAACAGGCCACAAAAACAUUGGGUUAAUCAUGCUGGCUUAUUACAUGUAGAUCAGUCUAGGCUCUUACAGAGUAUACUGCAACAACAAUUAUCACAUCAAAAUGGCCUAUUGUCUUCCCAAUUAAUGUCACCACAGCAGCAAUUGCAACAGCAGAGACUGCACCCUUCAGUUCAACCAUCUUUGGCUCAUUUUGCAGCAAUGCAAUCUCAACUCUUUAAUGCACAUCCUUCAUCAUUACAUAUCAGGGAACAAAAACAUAAAUCAUCCCAAAGAAACCGGCGCUUUUCACAAGGCUCUGACACUAGUAGUCAGAAAAGUGAUGGUGGCUGGGUGCAAUUCCGAUCCAAGCAUAUGACAGCUGAUGAAAUCGAGAGUAUUCUGAAAAUGCAGCAUGCUGCUACUCAUAGCAAUGACCCAUAUAUAGACGAUUACUACCACCAAGCUUCUCUUGCCAAAAGAUCUACUGGGUCGAGAACUAAAAACAAUUUCUGCCCGUCUCACUUGAAGGAGCUACCUUCUCGAUCUCGUAACAGUGCAGACCAGCAUUCUCAUCUCCAUUUUGAUGCUCUCGGGAAGAUGCCCCUCCCUUCCAUACGGAGGCCUCAUCCCCUUCUUGAAGUUGAUCCUCCUGGUUCUGGUGAUGGAAACUCUGAACAAAUGUCUGAGAGGCCUUUGGAACAGGAACCUAUGCUUGCAGCUAGAAUCACCAUUGAAGAUAGCCUGUCUCUUCUUCUUGAUGUAGAUGAUAUUGACCGUUUCCUGCAGUGUAAUCAGCCCCAAGAUGGUGGGGCUCAGCUCAGGCGUAGGCGGCAGAACUUGCUUGAAGGAUUGGCAGCGUCACUUCAGCUUGUUGACCCACUUGGCCAAACUGGCAAAACUGCUGGACUUGCCUCAAAGGAUGACAUUGUGUUCCUGCGGUUAGUAUCACUUCCCAAGGGUCGAAAGCUCAUCUGCAAGUUUCUUCAGCUUCUGUAUCCCGGGAGUGAACUCACCCGUGUUGUCUGCAUGGCUAUUUUCCGUCACUUGAGGUUUUUGUUUGGUGGCAUUCCCUCAGAUACGGGAGCAGCUGACACAACUACAAAUCUCACAAAGACAGUUUCUGCAUGUGUAAGUGGCAUGGAUCUUCAUGCAUUGAGUGCUUGCCUUGUAGCCAUAGUUUGUUCUUCAGAGCAGCCACCAUUUCGGCCUCUUGGUAGCCCUGCUGGGGAUGGAGCCACAGUUAUUUUGAAGUGUCUUCUUGAAAGAGCUAGUAAACUAUUACAUGGUCCCCAGGCUUCUGCCAACUGUGGUAUGCCCAAUUUUGCUCUCUGGCAGGCAUCAUUUGAUGAAUUUUUUGAUCUUCUUAUGAAGUACUGCCUGAUUAAAUAUGACACUAUACUGCAAUCAGUCUAUGCAAAGACACCACCUAGCGCAGAAGGUAUUGAUUCAGAGGUGCGUGCAGCAACAAAACGAGAAAUGCCUGUUGAGCUUUUAAGAGCUUGCCUUCCUCAUACGAAUGAACGCCAGAUGGAACUUUUAAGACAUUUUGGGCAGCAACGCAAUACCAUUACUGGCCUGAGUGCACAUCCAGGGAAUAGUGGUCACAUAAACUCUGAAUCAGUGAGGAGUUGACCGAGGAAAGAAUUAAAGAUAUUGCAACUGGAUGGCCAAUCUGUUUACAUCAAUCUCUCGGCAAAUUUGGACAUGGAAAUGGAACUAAUGUGGUUUGGAGCUUGGAAGUGGCAUAGAUUCACCUUUAUUGAGUCAGGUUUUUUAAGGGUUCAUCUUUAUCUUUCUAAUAGUUUCCUUCAAAGGAUUAUCCAGGACUCUCAUCUUGUUAAGACUUAUAGUCAUAUGCAUAAAUGUGUAUUAUGGUGGAAGGAAAAUAUACAUGGGAGAUGGUGACUGGGAAGUCUUUUUAUCUUUUUUAUUCUUCCAAGGAGCUUUAUUUUGGUGCUCUAAGUCGUAAUUCCUGGCAAAAGUUAAAGCUUAGGGGAUAGAUUGUACAGGAUAAACUCUCCCUUUUCUUUUGAUCCCGCCUGUCCAUUGGAAGUGAAGAGAGUUGUCAUGGUGUCCAGUGUUCAGGACCAUCAAGCGGGAUGCACUUGCUGGAGAAUGUUUCAGUCGGGCCUUACAUACAAAUUCUGUAAUGGGGUAUUCUGCUGUAACUGUAAUAAAUUGCGAAGGCAACGCAUAAGAAAUGUUCUGUUAGAUUAAGGGAACUGAAAGUCCUGAAUUAAAUGUAGUAAAUUUCUCUCGCACUUGCAGACAUUUCUUAAUAAUGGGGGAGGGGGGUUUAAGAGCCUAUGUUUCCCCUCCGUAACUUGUUUGCUCUAUGUUAGGCAUGUGCAUGUUUAAACAGAAAUUUGAACCUUCGACCUGGAGAUUUUACGUUUUUACCUAGCUGUAAGACCACAAAAGAAAGGACAAGUCUUGUCUUCCUAUAUAGUAACUUCUUUAAUGGGAAACCUCUCCUGGUAUACAAGGUUCCUGUCUUGACUGGCAACUCUUCCAUCUUUUUCUCUGAUUAGAUUUUAUUUUGUGAAUUUUGAGGUAUUUGGAUUGACAUCCCUUUUUUCAGGUUUUGAUAAAUGGAUUAUAAUUUUCCUAAUAUGUAUUGGGAGUAGCAUUACUCAUUAAUUUUUACCAGUAUCAUGCAUGGCCAAGGAAAAUCAUUAUAAUAGUUCUUUCCUCAGCAAACUGAACUAAGAACUUCUUUGGACUGUUCAGGAGCUAAAAUUACUAGUGGAGAAGAAGAUAUUAAAUUUCCUUCUCUAUUCUUUGCGAAAAGUGAUGCAUUUCCUCUCAGAAGUCGCCUGUAUAUAGUUUUCUGAAGAAUCAAUUGAAGUGGUCGUCCUCCAUGGUUCAUGAGAUGCAUGAUACAGGGGUCUAGGGGAUGCAUUUCCCCUCAAAAGUUGUCUGUAGUUUUCUGAAGAAUCAAUGGGAGUGGUCCUCCAUGUCUAGGGGAUGCAUUUCCCCUCAAAAGUUGUCUGUUGUUUUCUGAAGAAUCAAUUGAAGUGGUCCUCCAUGGUUCCUGCUCAUCUCAAUCAAUGAGCUGUUAUUCAACUGAUUUUAAUUUCAUUUCCUCUUUUUUUUUUUUUAUAUAUAUUUGUAUUAUUAUGUGAUUAAUUGUGUUUGAAAAUUUCCACUGCAGAACUUUUUACUUUAUUACAUUUCAAAAGAAAAGAAUAAAAACAUUUGUGGUCUCAGUAGAACUACUGCUCGAAAACACCAGAGAUUGUGGUCUCAAUAGCUCUGCUCCAAAACACCAGACUCUCCACUAUUCUCCGUUGCUCCUGAUUUGCUAAAGCUAUGGCUGAUAAGCCCCAUGCAGUUCUUAUCCCACUUCCAUUUCAAAGCCAUAUAAAAUCUAUGCUAAAACUAGCCAAACUACUUCAUCACAGAGGUUUUCACAUAACCUUUGUCAAUACUGAAUAUAACCAUAGACGCUUACUUAAAUCUAGAGGUCCUAAUUCCCUCAACGGUUUGCUUGAUUUUCGAUUUGAAAACAUUCCAGAUGGGCUCCCUCAUUCGGAUAUUGAUGCUUCAAUUCCCAAGAUAUCCUUGCACUUUUUGAGGCUGUCAAGAACAACUUAAUGGCUCCAUUCAGUGACCUACUUAACAAGCUCAAUGAGACAGCCACUUCUAAUGUGCCCCCAGUAACAUGCAUCGUGUCGGAUUCCUUGCCAUUCACUAUCGCAGCUGCUGAAGAGCGAGGAAUACCUAUUGCACUAUUUGAAACUGUCUCUGCUUGUUGCUUCAUGUGCUUCAAACAACUUCGUCCACUCAAAGAAAAAGGUCUUACACCAAUUAAAGGUAUGAAGGUCCACUGUUUAUCACCAUUUCGGGGUUGUUAAUAUCUGGAUUGCAAUUUAGUAACAAAAGAUAAAGCUAAAUGUAAUUUUGAAGAGAAUGAUAUCUUCUUGUUUUAUUUCAGAGUAAGUAGAAUUUAUAAUUUAUACUGAUGGUUUAACAUCAAGAUUCUAUAUUAUUGCCUGUGAGCAAGCCUAAUUAUCUAUGAAUAAGGAAACAAAUAAUUAAAGAUUCAAUUACAGUAUUUGACUAAACUUGAUUUCCUAUUAUGUGAUUGAUUUCCUAUGCUGUGCUUGAUUUCCUUUAACACUCCCCCUCAAGUUGGAGUGUAUGUUAAUUACACCCAAGUUGCUAAGUAAAGUCUCUAACUGUGUAGAGCUUAAAGGCUUAGCAAGCAAGUCUGCCGGUUGGUGUGUAAUUUGAAUAUAGGCUGUCUGAAUCAUUCCUGCUUGAAUUUUCUCAAGUAUCAAAUGACAGUCUAUUUCUAUGUGCUUGGUUCGCUCAUGAAAGACGGGAUUCGAUGAUAUGUGCAUUGCUGCUUGAUUAUCACAGAACAAAGUUACUGGCUGUGUGUGAUUUAUCUGUAAGUCCUUCAAAAUGUUUUUCGGCCAUGUAAUUUCGCAGCAUGUAGUAGCCAUGGAGCGAUAUUCUGCCUUUGCACUUGAACGUGAUAUUGUUGUUUGUUUCUUGGUUCUCCAAGAAACUGGUGCCUCUCCAAGUAAAAUGCAGUAACUAGUAGCUGAUCUUUUCGUGUCCUUACAACGAGCCCAAUCAGCAUCACAAAAUGCUCGUAACUGAAGUGCACUUGUGGACGGCAACAUGAUGCCUUGCCCAGGUGUUUGUUUGAUAUAUUUGAGCACUUUAUAAGUUGUGUCUAGAUGGGGUUGCCGGGGCUUGUCCAUGAAUUGACUUAAGAUAUGCACAACAUAAGUCAAAUCCGGUCUAGUUAUAGUUAGGUAGAGUAACCUGCCAACUAACCUCCUGUAUGUUGAUCCAUCCUCCAAAAGCUUUCAAUCGGAUUGUGUUAGGGACACAUUUUGCUCCAAAGGAAACCCAGAUGGCUUGACACCCAAAAACCCCGUAUCAUCUAGAAUGUCGAGUGCGUAUUUUCUCUGUGACAGACUGAUGCCAUGUCGUGAUCUUGCAACCUCAAUGCCAAGAAAGUAUUUAAAUUGCCUUAAGUCUUUAAGUUUGAAUUGCUUGGACAAGAAAAGUUUGGUGUUCUCUAUAUCCUGGAAAUUAUUCCUAGCUAAUAUCACAUCAUCAACAUAUAUCAGUAAUGCUAAAAAGUUACCAUGAUGGCUUCAAAUGAAUAAGAAAUAAUCAGACAAAGACUAAUGGAAUACUGCAGCCUUGAGUGCACUGGACAACUUGAUAAACCACUGUCUAGAAGCUUGUUUUAAGCCAUACAGAGAUUUAUGAAGUUUGCAAACGAGUGUCUCCCUUUUUUGCUCGAAGCCAGGAGGCAAAGUCAUCUAACUGAUGUAAAUGCCAACCACACAAAGCUGCCACACUAAGUAAGAUGUGGACAAUGACCAUCUUGGCUACAGGAGCAAAGGUUUCCUGAUAAUCAACGCCUUCAACUUGGUUGUAGCCCUUAGCCACCAUCCAUGCCUUAUAUCGUUCCACUAUCCCAUCAGCCUUUAACUUGAUUAUGUAUACCCACUUGCAGCCGAUUGGCCGUUUGUGGGAUGACAAUGGUACCAAACUUUAAGUCCCAGUGGCCUGUAAAGAAACUAUCUCAUGGUGCAUGGCCUCAUUCCACCGAGGAUGUUGAACAGCCUGUGAAAAACUGGUGGGUUCUUUGAGGAGGGUGAGUUGAGCAGUAUAAGCCUUGUGAUGGGGAGAAAGGUGAGUGUAAGAUAAAUAAGUAGAGAGGGGAUAAGCAGUACCUGAAAUGUGAACCAUGUUCGUGGAGGAUGUUGGGUCAGGCUUUGAAGGGAGAGUCAUGGCGAGAUGAAAAUCUUGCAAGUAUGAAGGAGUGGUAAUAGAACGACUGCCAUAACGAAGGGGAGGAAUGGGCACAAGGGAGGAGUGGGCCUGUAUGGGAGAUAAAUCAGGUAGUUGAGGGAUAGGGGUGACUGGAGAUAAAGACUCUAUGAAGGGAGAUGAAGACUCUAUGAUGGGAGCCAGAGGGGUAUAUGAGCUGGUGGAAGGAGGUGUCUGGGAAUUGGGUGAGUUGGUGAGUGUAGGGCAGGUAAUUGGAGGAGGGGUGCAAAAUCUAUGUCGAAAGGUAAGGAUGGUGUGGGAGGCAAAAAUGAUGGGGCAUCAGGAUUAGUAUAUGAUGCAGGUGUAAGAAAAGGUAAUAUGGAUUCAAAGAAAACGACAUCCCUGAAGACUAUUAUUCUUUGUUUAGCUAGAUCAAAAACUCUAUACCCCUUUUUCCCAAAAGGAUAUCCAAGAAAGAUACACCGAGAUGCUCGAGGAUCAAAUUUGGAGUGACUUUGUGCAUGGGUGGAAACAAAACAUAAGCAACCAAUACUCGUAAGUGUGAGUCAUUGGGAACUGUGUUGAAUAGUUUUUCAUAUGGUGUUUUUCCGUGGAGAAUAGGGGUUGGUGUUUGAUUUAUGAGAUAAGCGGAAGCAAGAAUAGUGUCACCCCAAAAUUGAUUAGAAAGACCGGCCUGAAGAAGUAAGGCACGUGCCAUAUUUAACAAAUGCCUAUAUUUGUGUUCGGCAACGCUAUUUUGUUAUGGAGUAUUAAUGCAACUAGUUUGAUGAAUGAUACUUUUGUGAGCGUAAAAGCUUUCAAGUUUGAAUUCAAGACCAUUAUCACUACGAAUCAUUUUGACUUUGGAAUCAAAUUGAUUUUCAGCCAUGUUGAUGAAGUUGACUAGAAGAUCCCUAGUAUCGGAUUUGUGUUUCAUAAGGUAAAUCCAUGUGCAUCUAGUGUGAUCAUCAACGAUAGUAAGAAAAUAUUUGGCACCUAAAAUAGAAGAAACUUUAUAACCACCCCAAAUGUCAACAUGGAUAAAAUCAAACAGAGAUAUAGUAGUAAUGAAACUUGAAGAAAAUGGAAGUCUUAUUUGUUUUGCUAAUGGACAAAUCAAGCACUUGUCGUUAGAACAAGAAUUAACUUUAGGAAAUAAUAGAGAGACUUUGGUUGAGAGAUGCCCAAGACGUUGAUGUCAAAGGUUCGGGUUGGAAGUUUUGGCAUGGUUGCAUGUUCCUUUCUUGGCUUGGUCGAGAAAAUAGAGACCCUUCAUUUCAAUUCCCGUCCCAAUCAUCUUCCCCGGAUGUAGGUCCUAAAUCACACAAAAUUGGCUUAGAAAAAUGGUUAUGCAAGAAGAAUCAAAUGCUAGUUUGCUAAUGGAAAUUAAAUUCAAUUGGAAAUAUGGGACACACAAAACAUUAUCAAGGAUCAAAUCAGGAGAUAGAUGAACUCUGCCUAUGUGAGUUACUUGUGCUAUUGAUCCAUUUGGUAAUUCAACAGUGCAGCCAUUAACCAGUCUUGAGUAUGCGAGCAGAUUUUGAUCAUAAAUCAUAUUAUCCAUGCACCCACUAUCCAAGCAUUUUUAUGUUUGUAAUCCAAGCACACAAGAAUUUGUGAAAGUACUUUCUUACUUCCAAUUCUUUAACAAAAAGUAGUUACGGAGUCUCAAUAGUUGGAUGAAGAUCUGUUACAAUUGAAACACAUGAAAAGCCUAGAAGCAUAGUUUUGAAACCCGGCCCGGCCCGGCGGGUCGAGCCGGCCGACCCGGGUCUAAGCAAAAAACAGCCUGGGAAUUGGCCCGGUGAGACCCGGUUGACCAGGUGGGUCGACCCGGAACCCGGCCGACCCGGGUAAACCCGGCCGAGACCCGACCUUAUUUUAUAUAUAUAUAUGAACACAACGACGUCGUUUUUUUUCCUAAACACUCAAUUUAAUUGAAAGUCAUCGUCUCUCUCUGAUUGAAUGUCAUUGUCUCUCUCUGUCUCUGACCCACAAUCUCAAAAUCUGUUCGUUUUUGGCGAUGAUAUCUGUUCAAAAUCUAAUCAAAGAAAGAAAAUACCCUUUCAUCUUUGCUUUUGCUAUCUUACUCGUUUCUGCCAGUAUCUUCUUAUACUCAAAUAAUUUUCAAUCUCUCACAUUCUCUCUCAGAGAUCUACAAAAAUCUAACCCCACAAUCUCAAAACCUUCUCAAAAAAUCCAAAUCCAAGGUGUUUGGUGCCUCUUCCUAAUGGGUAUUAAGUGUCAAUUCAGCGGCUGAAAAGCAGGGACAUGGUGAGAUUAUUUUGAUUAAUUCUUUUGGUAAGAUUUUGGUUUUAGUUAAUUUUCUUCCUUUUUAUUUCAGGUUUUAGUUGUUGGGCAAAAUUUGAAAGCUUAAUUUUAAGUGGAGGACUGAGGAUAACAGAAGAUUAUUCUGUUGGAUGGUUCACCUGAGAAUUCACUUGAGUUCAUCCAGGUCCAAAUUGCCAAUGUGGAAUCAAAAUUUGCCACUGCAAUUUUUGACUCUGGUGAGAUUAAAGUGGAGGGAAGAGUGAAAGACAGGAAGCCCCACCUCACCAAGGUAGAUUCAUUUGGUGUUGAUGUGAGCAUGGAAGGCAGCCUCAUACUUUGCAGUCAGGUUGAUCAACCAGGUAUGAUUGGCAGUGUGGGGAAUAUCCUUGGUGAGGAGAAUGUAAAUGUGAGUUUCAUGAGCGUUGGCAAGAUCGCUCCACAAAAACAAGCAGUAAUGACCAUUGGUGUGGAUGAAAAACCCAGCAAGGAAGCGCUAAAGAGGAUUGGGGAGAUACCAGCAGUUGAAGAAUUUGUGUUUCUUAAGUUGUAGGGCGCACAAUUCCGUCAUUCUUGAACCCUUUUUUUUGGGUUGACCCGGGUACCCGGGUCAACCCAUCUGACCCGUGACCUAAUCAUUAUACCGGGUUGAUCACCGGGUUGGGUUUUAAACCUAGAAGACACAUUUAUGAAUAGAUGGAAAAAGAGGUUUGGUCGUACAAAAUAUAUUUUGCGAAAACAUCAAUAACUUUUUGAUAUGAUCGUGAUCAAAUUUUACGAGGAGGUUGUAUAAGCACUUCACUAUAAUAGGUAAACUUACUGUGUCCACUAUAAAAUUAGGCCUAAAAGAUUUUUUUCUAAGUUUGUGUUUUUUUCUCAUUAAUUUUGAAUUAUAGCUUUUAUUUUUUUCUUGUUAUUUCUUUUCCUUUCUUGUUAAUAUCCGCUAUAAACAUAUUUGAGUUAUUAUCAUAAUUUUCUUGAGAGAUUUUUUAGAAGAUUAUACUUUGUUUGAGAAUAAACAGCUCUUUCUGGCUAGAGUUUAUAUCCAACCCUUUUUCAUGAAUUUGUAUCUUUGUGUUCUCUUGGUCAGAAUAAGUCUCAAGCAACAAUCUUGGUUAAGAUAAAAAAAGGACUGAGAAAAAGGAUCCACAUCCAAGAUCAAACGCAUCUCAUAUAAUGGAAAGCACAUAGAUUAUAUUAAAAUGAUGCAAGAGUCAAGAAGAAAAAGAAUUUAGAAACUCUUUCCAACAAAAUAAUGCGGAUUCGAACAAUCCCAGGACUCAAAAGAGAAUGAGAAAAUAUUGAGGCUCUUAUUAACAACACCAGAUCAAUUAACAAUUGACAUAUAGCACAAAAAGUACAUUGAAAAGUAUGAGUCAAUCUCGAGUGAGUCUUCUUGACCUUUCAUGACAGAGCACCUCGUUUAUCAGCUUGUCCAAAUUCAUGGAUGAGGAACCAUUUGGAGCUGUUGCCUCUUCUGCUAAUUUUUUCCACUCCAUGGACCUGCUCUUCAUUUUCUUACCUUUCUCUCCUUCCAUCAACUCUCUCACAAGCUUCUCCACAUUAUCUCUUUUCACAUUGCUAUCAAUCUCCAUUCCAAUCCCCCACUCAGUGCAUGUAUACCUACAAUUUGUUUGUUGAUCACCGAAGGAUGGCCAACAAAGCAUAGGCACCCCAGAAGAAAUGCUCUCAAUUGUGGAACCCCAUCCACAAUGAGUUAUAAAACCUCCAACUGAAGGGUGGCUGAGGACUUCUUCUUGUGGACACCAACUAGCAAUGAAGCCCCUCUCUUUAGUCUCUUUCAUAAACUCUGGUGGAAAAAUAGGCGAGUCCCCAAUGACCAUAUCAGGUCUUAUUGCCCAUAAAAAUAGAUGACCACUUUUAGCAAGUCCCAUUCCAAAUUCAAUGAACUGCUGCUUUGAGAUGACUGCUAUACUGCCAAAGUUCACAUAAAUUACUGAGUUUGGUUCCUUGGAGUCAAGCCAUUGCAGACACUCGGACUCUUCUUUCCACAGGUUACAUCCAAUGGACUUCAGAUCAUCUCCAGAAACUUGAUUGAGAAGCAACUGAAGUGGACCGAUUGGAAAGACACGUGAAUGCAUAGAGAAUAGAGCAUUCAAAACUUCUUGCUCCAAAGCAUCAAAAGUAUGCAAAAUAAUUGCAGAAGCUUUAGAAGCACUCUCAACUGCUUCCAUGGCGUUGUUAAAAAACCAACCAUUUGGAUCCGUACUUCGAGAGAACCUUGGAAUAUCUCUUAAACGUAGAUCCUUCAUUCCUGGAAUCCCGUCUAUGAUUCUGUCCGCGAAAUCAUUUGUUUGAAAGCUCUCGUCUGCAAACACAAAGAACAGUUGGAUGCAAAUUCGGAGGUAAUUUCAAUCUUCAAAAACCAAAGGGCAAUAAAAAGUUGAUUUCAUAUUCAUACCAUCUAAUGGCGCUAGGCCUUUCUUUUUUAAUGCACGAAAUUGCUUGGAGCACAUGAAGACACAUGCAGAUAUAGUAAAGAACAACGCAAUAGGUAUUCCUAGCAUUUCAGCAGCACUGAUAGCAAAUGGCAUCAUACCAUCAGAGACAAUACAAGUCACCGGGGGCACACCAGAAUAUGUUGUGUCAUGAAGCUUGGCAAGCAGGUCAUUAAAUGAAGCCAGUUGGUUUUUCUUAAAAUCUUCAGCAGAUGCAAGAGUAUCAGAAGGAGGGACGCUGUCCGGAAUGGUUUCAAAUCGAAAAUCAUGAAAGCCAUUAAGGGAAUCAGGACCUCUAGAAUUAAGCAGCAGUCUAUGAUUGAACUCAGUAUUGACAAAGGUUAUGUGAAACCCUUUGUGGUGAAGUAGUUUGGCUAAUUUUAGCAUUGAUUUUAUGUGGCUUUGAAGUUGGAGGGGGAUAAAAACUGCAUGAGGCUUGUCAGCCAUGGCUUACAUGCUAUGUUUCUUCUGUAGUGUCAUAUGAAUGCUAUUAUAUUAAUUUGUUAGGCUGUUGUCUAUGGUUAAGGACUUAAGGGUGUUAAAAGAACUAAUUCAACUUAAAAAUUUAACCUACCAAGUGAGGUCUAAAGAUAUUAUUUAUAUUAUUCUCUAAUACAUUCCCUUAAAUUAAAACCUUGUAUUUAAUUUUUUGAUUAAAUAAAUAGAAAUUGUGAGAUUUGAACUCAUGAUCGCAUGAUUAUCAAAACUUUAAUACCAUAUCUAAGAACCAAUUCAACUUAAAAUUUUAAAUUUUUAAAUCAAAUUUAAAAAUAGAAUUUAUAUUAUUUUUUAAAAAGUAGAUAAAUUAGCCUUUGAAUUAGCGUUUGAAUCCAUAGUCAAUAUCUCUCUGGUGGAUAUUAUACCGAAUCCAAAACCUUACAGACGGUUUAUUUUUGGGUUUAUCUUAUUUAUAUUAAUCUCAUUUUUUUAACCCCAACCAUAUUGUUAUUGUAAAUUACUUUGUACUCAGUUUUAAUGUCAAAGAAACCGGGCAGCAGAAACCCGAUAUUCUCUUAUUGACAAAAAAUCUCCGGUAGGCCCGAAGUUGAACCUGAAGUUUGUACACACCUUCAAGUUUUCUUUCGAAAAGGGCUCAUAAUUGACCUCCUUUGCCAACAAGUCCAACCUGCAUCUGCACUCCUUCACGUGAUUUUUUAAUAUGUGAUGUUACAGUAGCUGUUAUUAUUUGUUGUUCUUUUUCAGCAUCGUCUCUCCCUUUUUUUUUUUUUUUUUUUUCACGUGAUUCCUCUGUAUUGCCAUAACUUUUUUUUUUUCACUUUUCCCUAUCAUCUCUCGUCUGCCAUGUCAUUAUCUUUUUUUUUUUUUUUUUUAUUCCUAGACAUGGAUCUUUUGGCUUUUUUUAAAGCCAUUAUAUCUGCAUGAAUUUGUUUAAGAUUGUUGAUUUUGUACAAAACAUUAAUGGAAGGAUGAAUUGGAAACGCAUAUAUAGAAUACAAAUGAAAUCUUAGCCUGCUAUAAUCUUCUCUAUAAGUAUCACCACACCUCUUAUGUGCACCAAUCAAUGCAAAGCCAAACAAUUUAGGCAAACAUCUCCUCAGCACAGACACCACAUUAAGCUCCAAAGGUAAUUAGAUGACAAGAAAAAUCAAAAGUUUGGAGUGUUGAUAGUGUGAUGAAUCCAAGAAAUCUGGAAACAGAUGUUCCAUUUAUUCCUAUCCUUAAUUUAUUUUUCUCCUGAUAAGCCAAAAUAUAUGAUUAGGAAAGCAGCCCAAGUGGACAUGAAACCACCUUGGCGGAAGAGUCUAGAGCAAACACCAGACAAUUCUUCAGAUGAAGACAACAUAAACCAGAGCAAAGUAAUUUAUUAAACCUUUGGCACAGUUCCCUUGAACGGACUCUCUUGUCCUUUGGAGAAGACUCCACACUCAACAGUAGCCAGCCAUAUUAUUUAGCAAUAAUUUAAAUUAGAAAAGCUUAAGAUAUCAUCAUGCAUGUUUAUAUGAACUAUUAUUAAACAAUGAAAUAUUUAGCUACCAAGGUAAAAUUUGCAGGUUAAAUUUGAUCAGUUCAAUAAUUAUAUCCAAAGUUAUGGAUGUUUUCGGCAUGCCGAUUACUUCACGAAACUCAGGUAUUUUCUCAGAUUUAACCCUGAUCUAUCGAUUCAGACUAUGGAUAUAUAUAACUUAGUUAUUAUAUAUCCAUAACCGACUAAGUAGACAUUGUUAUGUUAUCAAGAUUUAAUUACUUAUGCCUCAUCGUUUCAUAAAUUAAAUAAGUGGUCUCUUGAACGGGCACAAAUCCCUCGAACGGUCUCUCUUGUCCUUUGGUAAAAUUACUACAACAAGUACAGCAUUAUUUAGGAAAAACAAUCAACACACAACAUUAGCAAUGUAUGUAUGAAAUAUAACUAAGCAAUGCACCGACACUAAUGACCUUGGAAGCAAUACAUUUGUCUUGAGCUUUAAUUAUCUUUCAAAAAAGACACGGUUUUUAUUUCAUGACAAGAGCACUUCCAUCACCAACUUGUCUAGAUCGAUGGAUGAUGAACCACUGGGGCCAAUUGGCCUAUGGAUGACAUUUAAUCGCAGAAUACAUGAGAUAUUAAUUGGAAAUAUAUCCACCACAAUAACUUUAGGAAACAACAAAGGAAUAAAGGUGUCUCUCUGUCUUGUCUUGAGCUUCAAUUGUUUUCUUGUUAUACGUCAUAAGUUUGAUUUCUUGACAAGAGCACUUCCGUCACCAACUUGUCUAAAUUCAUGGAUGAUGAACCACUUGGACGAGUGGCCUCGAGAGCUAACCUCUUCCACUCCAUGGCUUUCUUCUUCAUUUUCUUACCUUGUUCUUGUUGGGCUAUUUCCAGAACUCAAACACACACAAUUUACGUGGUUCGGCAACUUGCCUACUCCACGGAGCUACUGGUUUGUAUUAAUGAAGCUUACAAACAAUACAAACAAAGGAGGAGGAGAUAAAACUCUCUCAACUCAACUCUACUCUCUCAAGUUCUCUCUAUUUUUCUCUGUUCUCUCUUCUCUCUGUGUUUCUCACGCUGCUCACUGUGUUCUUCAUACACACACAAACACAUCACAGGAGGGGUACAUUAAUAUACAAUUAAUGGGAGUGAGGGGGAGUCCUCCACCAUGUGCUAAGUGGGAGAUUAGGUAAUCCCACUUGCAUAUGGUGGGGCUUGCUUGUCUCCAAUAAUUAACAAUCUCCCACUUGGAGACAAACAAUGAAAUUAUCUUUUAUCCUUGAAGGCCAACUGAAGUUUUGCACAACUUCAGUUUAUCAAGUGUAACUCCUUUGGUUAACAUGUCAGCUGGAUUCUUGCUUCCACAGACCUUUUCUAGCAUUAGUUGCUCGUCAUCCAGCAGUUGUCGGAUGAAGUGAUAUUUGAUCUGAAUAUGCUUCGUCCUGGAGUGAAAUGCUGGAUUCUUGGCAAGGAAGAUUGCACUCUGACUGUCGCUAUACAAAGUACCUUUUCCAUUCAACUUGCCCAAUUCCUUCAGGAAACUCUGCAACCAUACUAUCUCUUUUGCAGAUUCUGAGACUGCAACAUAUUCAGCUUCUGUUGUUGAAAGAGCAACGAUCUUUUGCAAGGUAGAACUCCAGGAAACAGCAGUACCUCCUAGAGUAUAAACAUAUCCUGUAGUGCUCUUUCUGCUAUCAACAUCUCCUGCUAGAUCAGCAUCUACAAAACCUUCAAGUUUCAAACCACCAGCUGUGAAACUAAGACAAGUUUCCGAUGAACCUUUUAAGUACCUCAUGAUCCAUUUGACCGCCUCCCAAUGCUGCUUUCCAGGAUUGCUCAUAUAUCGGCUUACAACUCCCACUGCAUGGGCAAUGUCUGGUCUGGUACAGACCAUAGCAUACAUCAAGGAGCCGAUAGCUUAGGCGUAUGGAAUCUUAUCCAUGUAUCCACAUUCUUGCUCAGUUUUUGGUGACUGAUCUUUGCUGAGCUUGAAAUGAUUCCCCAGUGGUGUACUUACUGGUUUAGUAUUAUCCAUACUAAACCUGCUGAGAACCUUCUUGACAUACUCUGUUUGUGAAAGCUUUAGUACGCCUUUGUCUUUAUCUCUGAAGAUUCUCAUGCCAAGUAUUUGUUUAGCAGCUCCCAGAUCCUUCAUUUCAAACUGUUUUGACAACUGCUGUUUCAGCUUAUCAAUCUCCUCAAUGCUGGAUCCUGCAAUCAACAUAUCAUCUACAUAUAAUAGUAGAAUGAUGUAGGAGUUGUCAAAAUGUUUGACAUAGCAACAAUGAUCAGCUUGGCAUCUUGUAUACCCGGAACUGCACAUGAAGUUGUCAAACUUCUUGUACCACUGUCUUGGAGCUUGCUUCAAACCGUAUAGGCUUUUCUGUAGCUUGCAGACUUGAUUCUCCUUUCCUUGCAUUGCAAACCCCUCUGGCUGUUGCAUGUAAAUAUCUUCCUCCAAGUCACCAUGAAGGAAUGCUGUUUUUACAUCUAACUGUUCAAGAUGUAAAUUUUCUGCAGCUACUAUCCCCAGAACAACUCUGAUUGUUGUGAGCUUCACAACUGGAGAAAAUAUCUCAGAGUAGUCAAUGCCUUUCUUUUGUUGAAACCCUUUGACAACAAGUCUUGCCUUGAACCGUUUACUUCCGUCAUGCUCAGUCUUCACUCUGUAAACCCACUUGUUUUGUAAAGCCUUCUUUCCUUCAGGCAGUGUGGUUAGCUCCCAAGUCUUGUUCUUCAGCAACGAACUCAUCUCAUCCUUCAUGGCUAACUCCCACUUGCUUGAGUUUCCAUCUUGUAAGGAUUCUUCAUAAGUUAGCGGUUCACCACCAUCUGUCAACAAAAUGUAAUUCAGUAAAAGUGUGAACCGUUGCGGGGGCUUUAUCGUCCUCGAAGACCUGCGAACAGCUGGUUCAAUUUGCUCCGCUUCUUCUUGUGUAGUAGCGGGUACAGAUAUGCUUGAGUCUUCUUGUAAAGGCUCUUGAUUGUUGUUCUGCUCAGUAACAUCGGGAAGGCCUUCUAAUCUUAUGAAUUCAGAUCCUUGUGGACUUGUAUCUGAAUCAGCCUUAUCUGUUUCUGCACUUGAUCUGUCUUUGUACAGAACUUUCUCAUUGAAGAUCACGUUCCUGCUUCUGAUAAUCUUUCUAUUCUGAUCAUCCCAGAACCGAUAUCCAAAUUCUUCAUCUCCAUAACCAAUGAAGAAACAUUUCUUGGAUUUGGCUUCUAGCUUGUUGCGAGCAUCAGAAUCUAUAUGCACAUAGGAAACACACCCAAAGACCUUUAAAUGAGAGAGUUGUACCUCUUUUCCUCUCCAUACUUCCUCGGGCAAUCUGAACUCCAAAGGAACUGAUGGUCCACGGUUGAUCAAGUAAACUGCAGUAUGAACUGCAUCAGCCCAGAAUGUUUGAGGUAGCCCUGAAUGCAACCUCAUGCUUCUAGCUCGUUCAUUGAUGGUCCUGUUCAUCCGUUCAGCAACGGCAUUCUGUUGCGGUGUGCCUGGAACGGUCUUUUCCAUUCUGAUACCAUUGACAGCACAAUACUCCUUGAAACCUCCAUCAAUGUAUUCUCCUCCAUUAUCAGAUCUUAAGCAUUUCAACUUUAGACCUGAUUCAGUCUCAACCAUAGCCUUCCAUUUCUUGAAUGUUUCAAACACAUCAGAUUUAUUUUUCAGAAAGUAAACCCAUACCUUCCUGCUGAAAUCAUCAAUGAAAGUCACAUAAUACCGAGAACCUCCAAGAGAUGCUACUGGAGACGGUCCCCAUAAAUCUGUGUGUACCAGCUCUAGCUUUCUUGGUCUUAAGGUCCUGCCAGCCUUCAAGAAACUGAGCUUCUUCUGUUUUCCAAGAACACAGCUUUCACAAAUGUCUAGAUCGACAUUUUUUAAUUCUGCCAGCUUUCCCUUCGACUGAAGUAUCUUCAUCCCCUUUUGACUCAUAUGGCCGAGUCUACAGUGCCAUAGAUGUGCUUGAUUUUCUGCUUCAGUAGAGGCAAUAAUGUCUGCAAAUCUUGUGGUCAUAUACAGGGUGUCGGUUUUCUUUCCACGAGCCAAAACCAUUGCUCCCUUUGAUACCUUCCACAUACCUCCAGAAAAAAGGAUUGAAUGACCACUAUCAUCAAGUUGUCCGACCGAGAUCAGCUUCUUCUUUAGAUCAGGAACAUGCCUUACAUUUUGCAAGUUCCAUAUAGAUCCAUUCAUUGUCUUGAUUUGUACAUCUCCUAUACCCACAAUAUCCAAUGGUUGUCCAUCGGCCAGAUAGACUACACCGUGAUCUCCAGCAAUAUAGUUUUGCAUCAUUUCAUGGUGUGGUGUACAGUGAAAUGAAGCACCAGAAUCAAGAACCCAAUCAUCAACAGGACUAUGCACAGCAAGAAUCAAAGCAUCUUGUACCUCGUCUGUAGUGGCGUUUGCAGAGUCAGCUUCAGGUUUUUUCGGUUUUGUGCAAUUCCUCAUGAAAUGACCAGGUUUGCCACAAUUCCAACAUUCAACCUGCUUUCUGGGUCCGAACUUGCUUUUACUUCUGUAUCUUGAUUUGGAUCUGCCUCUGGAUAAGCCUCUAUCCUGUCUCCUCCCUCGAGUGUUAAUGUUGAGAGCUGAUCCUGAACUUGAACUUUCACCUGAGUCUUUCCUUCGCACUUCUUCAGCUAAAAUCAAGUCUCGGAUGUCAUCAUAUUUCAGUUUGGAUUUUCCAGCUGAAUUGCUCACGGCUGUCCUCAUGCCUUCCCAACUGCUUGGAAGUGAAGCUAGCAAGAUGAGUGCACGAAUCUCAUCAUCAAACUCAAUCUCAACAGAUGAUAAUUGAUUUGUGAUGGUAUUAAAGUUGUUGAGGUGUUGUGUCACAGAAGUGUUUUCGACCAUCUUCAAGUUGAACAACUUUUUCAUCAGGUGCACUUUAUUAUUUGCUGAUGGCUUCUCAUACAUCCCAGACAAGGCUUCCAUCAAUCUUGCAGUGGAUCUUUCUUUCGUAACAUUGUGAGCAACUCUUCUUGAUAAGGAUAACCGGACAAUGCCCAGAACUUGUCUAUCAAGAAGUAACCAAUCUUCUUCUUGCAUAUUUUCUGGUUUGCUCCCCAACAAGGGAAGAUGAAGUUUCUUCCCAUAUAGAUAAUCCUCAAUUUGCAUUUUCCAGUAUCCAAAAUCUGUCCCGUCAAAUUUUUCAAUUCCAGCUGCUUUUAUUUCAUCUGCCAUUUUUACUACUUCUCCGAUUCGAAUUUCCCAAAUCUGACCUUACAUAUGUGUCCGGAACAGCCGAAAACCUUGGAAAUGACACUGAGAUCACCCCAAUCGGACUUCGGAUGGCUCAGAUUUUAGCAAUCAAAGUUUUGGAUUAACGGACGGUGCAGAUGCAGCCGCGUGUCAGCCAGAGUACCGCCUGCGUCGCACCGGAUCAAAAACUCAGAAGCGGUUCUGAUGAAGCCACGUGUCCGCUGAUUAGGUCCUGCAUCACACCGUAUCAAAACUCAGUAACGGUUCUGAUGAAGCCACGUGGCAGCAGAUGAUGGCCUGAGUCGCACUGGAUCAAUACUCAAUAGUGGUCCUGAUUUAACCACGUGUCAACUGAUUGAAUCCUGCGUCGUACUGGAUCAAAACCCCUCAACGGUGAUGAUGUAGCCAUGUGUCAGAAUAUUAGCUUCUGCGACACAUCGGAACAAAACUCAGUCGGAUGACGUGGAAGGUGACGUGGCAGUUGACGCUGACGGCGACCGUACGGAUGUGAUGACGUGGCGGGUCAGCCCGACCCGUUUCGCAGAAGCCGGGCGAAGAUGGAGCGUGGCGCGCGUACGGAGCGUUGGUGCGCGUGGGCAGUCUGGACGUCGGAGCGUGGGGGCGCGUUCGGGCAUGCAGGACGUCGGUUCUUCGCCGGGUUUUCAACAGUGGAUUCGUCCGGUUGUCCUCUACACGAUGGUAUGUUCAAAAACACGUUUGGAGAACUUUGAUUUUUGAGUUUGGAUCAAACACCCUCUUUGUCAAGAACAAGCUCUGAUACCAGUUGUUGGGCUAUUUCCAGAACUCAAACACACACAAUUUACGUGGUUCGGCAACUUGCCUACUCCACGGAGCUACUGGUUUGUAUUAAUGAAGCUUACAAACAAUACAAACAAAGGAGGAGGAGAUAAAACUCUCUCAACUCAACUCUACUCUCUCAAGUUCUCUCUAUUUUUCUCUGUUCUCUCUUCUCUCUGUGUUUCUCACGCUGCUCACUGUGUUCUUCAUACACACACAAACACAUCACAGGAGGGGUACAUUAAUAUACAAUUAAUGGGAGUGAGGGGGAGUCCUCCACCAUGUGCUAAGUGGGAGAUUAGGUAAUCCCACUUGCACAUGGUGGGGCUUGCUUGUCUCCAAUAAUUAACAGUUCUCCUUCCAUCAACUCUCUCACUUGUUUUUCCACAUUUUCUCUCGUCACAUUGCUAUCAAUCUCCAUUCCAAUUGCCCACUCAUUGCAUGUAUACCGACAGUUUGUUUGCUGAUCACCGAAGGACGGCCAACAAAGCAUAGUCACGCCAGAAGAAAUGCUCUCAAUUGUGGAACCCCAACCACAAUGUGUUAGAAAACCUCCAAUAGAUGGGUGGUUGAGAACUUCCUCUUGUGGACACCAACUACAAAUAAAGCCCCUUUCUUUUGUUUCUUCAGUGAAUUCUGGUGGAAAUAUCGCGGAGUCGCCGGUGAUCAUGUCAGGUCGUAUUAUCCAUAAAAACGGGUGACCACUCUUAGAAAGUCCCAUUCCAAAUUCAACGAGCUGCUCUUUUGUAGCCACUGCUACGCUACCAAAAUUCACAUAAAUUACUGAGUUGGGUUUCUUGGAAUCAAGCCAUUGGAGACACUCAACUUCUUCUUUCCAUAGGUUACAAUCAAUAGAAUCCAGAUCAUCUUCUUGAAUUUGAUUGAGAAGUAAUUGAAGUGGACCGAUUGUGUAGACACGAGGAAACAUAGAGAAAAGGGAAGUCAGGACUUCUUGCUCCAAAGCAUCGAAAGUAUGGAAAAUGACUGCAGAACCUGAAGGAGAUCUCCCAACAGAUUCCAUGGAGAAGUUAAACAGACAGUCAUUUGGAUCUGUUGUGCGCAUAAAACUUGGAAGAUCCCUCAAUCGUAUAUCUUUCAUUCCUGGAAUCCAGUCUACUACUCUGUCUAGAUAGCCAUCUGUUAAAAAGCUCGCGUCUGCAAUUAAAAAUUGAAUGCAUGACUAAUUUUGUAAACGUUAGUGUUAAUUUGUGAACAUCAUGCUUGUAUAUGAGUAAAAUGACUCGAGAUAAAUUGAAAGAGAGCAAAAGUCAAUAGUUUGUGAUGAAAGGUUGUGCUGAAAGAGGCAGUAAUGAUGCGACGAGCACCAUCUCUACCAACUUUGCCAUAGUAUUUCAAAUAUAGUCACCGUUCUAAGAUCUUAUAACCAAUAAAAAGGAAAAACAAAGGAUACAAUUAUGUGGGCUAAAAAGGGAACAUGGAAAUACUCACAAUUAUGUGUACAUGGAUGAACAUGUACUCGAGCAUAUUACAAAGAAUUUAUAUUAAAAAAAAAGAACAUAGUUAAUUGGUCAAGAGAAACUUGAAUUCCUUGUCCGUACCUUUUAGUGGUGCAAGACCUUUUUCUUUGAGUGCUUGAAAUUGUUUAAACCCCAUGAAGCUGCAAGCGGAGAUAGUAAAGAACAACGCAAUAGGAAUUUCGCGAUUCGCUGCAGCAUCGAUAGCGACUGGCAUGAAACCAUCAGAGACGAUGCAAGUCACUGGCGGAACAUCAGGUGAUGCUGUGUCAUUCAGCUUGUCUAGCAGGUCAUUAAAUGGCGCCAACAAGUUCUUCCUGGCAGCUUCACAAAGUCCAGGCAAAUCUUGGGUGGCAUUCUCAUCCGAGGGAGGGAGGCCAUCAGGAAUGGAUUCGAACUGAAAGUCGGGCAAACCUUUCAGGGAAUCAGAUCCUCUAGAUUUAAGUAAGCGUUUAUGGUUAAACUCAGUAUUGACAAAGGUGAUGUGAAAACCUUUGUAAUGUAGUAGUUUUGCUAGUUUAAGCAUUGACUUUAUGUGGCUUUGAGCUGGGGCAGGGAGACAUACUGCAUGAGGCUUAUGAUCAGCUAAAAUUAUACAAGUCAUGCCUCGAGCUCGCUCUUUCUUUCUCUAUUUCCUCUGCUACUUGAGUUUCUGCUAUUCUAUGUUAAAGUGAACACACCCAUCACCGACUUAUAUCUAUCAAUUUUGAAGGAUAAAACACUGCUAAAUUAAACAUGGUUGACAAGGGAUUGUUUUGUUUAUUCUUGAUAUCGCAUGGAUUAAUUAAUUUUUCUUAUAAAAUUUUGUGAUUGAGUUAUAAUUAACCCUCAAUCUGUGGAACUUUUAAUAGUGACCAGUAUUGCAACAGAUGUUCUCUUAAUUUUGGAGUCAUUGUCUGAUCUUUAAUCUUGUCAAAUUAAUGCAAGGAAAUCUGAAACACACAUGUUUUGUUUAUUCCAAUCCUUAAAUUAUUUUCUCCUCAUGAGCCAAAAUAUGCGGACAAUAAGCCAAACUUGGCGGAAGAAUCAAAAGCAAACAGAUGAAGACAACUUAUAGAAACAAAAACCAGAGACAAAAUAAUUUAUUAAACCGUUGGCUUUACAGUGUUACAGUAGCCAGCCAUAAUAUUUAGCAAUAAUUUAUAUUAGAAAAGCCUAGGGUAUCGUAUACGUUUACAUGCAAUAUUAUUGAACAACCUAUCGACACUACUCGCCUUGAAAACAACACUUUGUUUAUAUGAAACUUUUUUUUUUAUUCCGUCAUGAAAGGACUUCCGUCACCAACGUGUCUACAUUCAUGGAUGAUGAACAACUGGGGCUAAUAGGCCAAUGGAUGAUAUUUAAUAAGUGUUUGGGGAUCCGGUUAAAUUAUGUUUUUUUUUUAAAUUUUAAAAAAAGUUAUUGAGAAUUAUUUUUUAUAUAUUUUCAAAUCAUUUUAAUGUAUUGAUGUUAAAGAUAACUUUUAAAAAAUAAAAAAAAAUUAUUUUGAUACAUUUCUAAGCAAAAAACAUUUUGAACUGCAACUAUUACCAUACUCUUAAACACAAGAUAGUGUUUUUCAGUGUAGUCAUAUUAUUUUUUAAAGUUUUUUUAUUUGAAAAUAUAUUAAAAUAAUACAUUUUUUAUUUUUUUAAAAUAUUUUAAUAUCAGCAAAUCAAAAUAAUCUAAAGCGGUGGGAUUGACAUAAUUGCAAACAUGCACACUGUGGUCUAACCUUUUUUUUAUAUAUUUUAAUUUUAAAUUAUUUUUUUAGUAUUUUUAAACUGUUUCUAUGUGUUGAUAUUAAAAAUAAAUUUUAAAAAAUAAAAAAAAUAUUAUUUUAAUGUAUUUUCAAAUAAAAAAAUAUUUUGAAAAAUAAUCUUUACUGUAUUUCCAAACAAGCCCGUUUAGAAAUGCGAAAGCUUUUACUUUCACGUGUUUUUUAAAAAUGUAUUUAGCUUGAAAAAAAUAUCAAAUUGUUAUUUUUUUUAGUGUUUUUUAUAAUUUUAUUGUGUUAAUAUUAAAAUAAUAAAAAAAUUAUUUUAAUAUAUUUUCAAAUAAAAAACUCUUUAAAAACCAUAAAGAGUAGAUCCAUGCAAGUUGUCUUUAUUAAUUAUUAAAAUGAUUGUGUCUGCUGUUUAUCCAUGUUAUUAGCUGUUAUGUGUGGCAUGAUAACUACACAAUUGCUCUGGACAGAAGGCAAUUCCUUAAAAAAAAAAAACAUAAAUAAUACAAAUGUCAAUUCUUUUUUUUUUUUAAUCAAAUGCCAUAAAGUAUACGUAUGUCCUUUCAUCCAACCUUACAGGUUAAGGGAUAUUAUAAUUUUUGUUAUGUUAUAAAUUAAAAUAAGUAAAUAGAGAAUUCAAAUGUAUAGUUAAAUCCCAAAAAUAUUAGUAUACUGAGUAAACUGAGCCAAAUGAAUGGCUUUAGAUAAAUUUAUUCCUUGCGUAGCAAUGGCUGCCAAGUUACCUUCCAUGCAGGGUGCCACUAGCAAAAUAGGGCUUGCGUUUAGCCAGCGUCACCGCCCUAUAAACAAAAGGGCUUUUCCCUUUUUAAUCAAGUGAUCGAUUGCGUGUAGCCAUAAAUUAGCCAGCAGUUUUACAGCUUCCAAGCUGGCUGUCUCCAAGACUCUCCAUCUCCAACAUCAGUGUUGUUGCUUCACGAAACUCAGGUAUCUUCUCAGACUUAACCCUGUUCCAUCGAUUCAGACUAUCCAUAUAACUUAGUUAUUAUAUAUAUAUAUAACCGACUAAUUAGACAUUGUUAUGUUAUCAAGAUUUAAUUACUUAUGCCUCGUCGUUUCAUAAAUUAAAUAAGUGGUCUCUUGAACGGGCACAAAUCCCUCGAACGGUCUCUCUUGUCCUUUGGUAAAAUUACUACAAGUACAGCAUUAUUUAGGAAAAACAAUCAACACACAACAUUGUUUGUUUUCGGAAUUGUAUUUUUUAUUGUAUUGAUUGAAUAUAAAUGAUACAAUUUAUAGGAUACAAACCUAUAUCAAAACAAGAAACUAAAUAUACAAGGAAAUCUAGAAACUAAUUACAUAAUCAAUUUUUCUAAUUCAAGAAACAAAUAUAGAAUCAUAUACCAACACAAUCCCUGAUUAGACAAGAUAAAAUCUCAACACUUCUUCUCAAAUUGAUGCAUAGAUGUUACACAUGCCCAACUUGUCUAAAAGCUUUGAAAACACUUGAUUUGAGACUGCUUUUGUAAGAAUGUCAGCCAAUUGAUCCUCACAUCGAAUCUUAGGCAACUCCACAAUUUAAAGUAACCAGAAGUAGUAGAUCACCUAUCAUCUAUACCUCAGUGAAUUUCAGUACAACUACUACACACAAGAUGUAGCACUCUUCCCCUUUCCAACCUUGCUUAAUUCAUCAAAAGCUAAUUUCUGUCUAUCAUCUCGGUUUGGAAAAAUAACUGAAAAACUCUGCCAAAUGAGUUCUAUGUAGCACAUGUAUGCAUUGAGGAGGUCAAAUGAGGAAGGCCAAGAUUCUCUAUGAACUGCCUCAGAGCUUAUGAACUGAACAUGCAUUUUCUGUUAGAUGAGUUUUGGUUUCUAAACCUGAAACUGCCAUCAUAAGCAUUUGCUGGUCUAACAUUAACUUUGAGAUGAGCAACAAUAAUCAAAUACUUCCCUUGAGCAGGUCAGGCCCAAGCUAGGGAAGUUAGGAUGAGCUCUUGUCAUUAUAUCACAUUAUUCUUCUAGGAUACUGCUCUCUAUAUUCUCUUCUACUAUUGUUUAUAAUCAUCUUGCCUCUGGUAUCUUUUCCAACCUGUUUGAGGGAUGCUUUCUAAUUUUUUUCGUUGGAUUGUGAAUUUGUUGUCCACCUACACAGUUGAACCGAGUUGUAACUGGACCCAUGAAUCCAGGAGUUAUUGGUGACAGAGGAUCUGGAUCCUUUUCGAGAGAAAGUGAGUUCAACUGUUACUUUUUGUUUACAUUAUCUUGUUGCACUAAAUCAAGAAGUUUACUAGACUUAUUAUUCUGUAAAUUUGCUUUCUGAGUGCUGAGCAUUUUAUACGACCAUGUGAAUGGGGAGGUUUGAUUCUCAUAUAAUUGUUGUCAGCUUAUUUGUGAGCCAAAAAGUAUUAUUGAAUAGAAAUGCUUUCAUUCUUUAUUGUCGGCUUGAAAGUGAAUUAUUACCUGAGUUUUCUUCUCCAUUUUAUUUAAUUUACGAAGCAUUUCAUGAUUGUCUUUCUGACUUUAUUGAGUUUUUUCUAUAAGCCUGAUAAUUUGUCAGAUAUUUUUAGCAGGAGUCCUUACAUAUGUAUGCAGGUCAGAAGUCAUUCCCAUCAAUAAGAUGGAGUGGCUUCUUGGCUAAACUUAAUUUAUUUAUUUUUUUGGUUUCUGCUAACCAUUUUGAGAUUGAUUUAGUCAGUCUCAUGAACUUCUGGUACAUCCAUCAUAUCACUUUGCGGCAAUUAGUAUGAACAAUUUUGCUGUGCCAGAUGGUUGCUUGUCCCCCGGUUUCUUAACUGAAAGAAGUAAUAAGAUAUUUUGGGUAUAUGCGCACUUCUCAUCACAUGCUGGCAACUAGUGCAAAUGAUUUCUGUGGUGUUUCCCAGUGUGCAAAAUAAGAUGUAGUUCCUAUAACUUUAUUUGAUGAUUAAUAUUGAUAUAUUUCCACUUUCUAUUAUACCAUAGUUAUUAGUUUGCAGUGUGGCAUAUAAUUUUUUUAGGUCAGUGUUACUUCAAUGGCGGUGUCUAAGUAUACCUUCUGCCAUGAUAUUUAAUAGCAUUUUCUUUUUCAGGCUCAUCUGCCACUGAUUGGGCACAAGAUGGAGAGUUUACGAGUUGGUUAGAUCAACAAAUGUUUAAUGCAGAAAAUUCUCAGGAUAGCAAGAGAUGGUCAUCACAGCCCCAACCUUCUUCUGCUUGUUUCUCAGAAUCAAAAACUUUGUACAGAACUUCCUCAUAUCCCCAGCAGCCACAACAGCUUCAGCACUUCUCAAGUGAACCAAUUCCUGUACCCAAAUCAAAUUUCGCAUCUUUCCCUCCUCCUGGUUGUUCGCCACACCACCUUAAUGUUGCUUCUCGUGCUGGUGGACUGCAGUCACACUUGUCUGCCCCGAAUCUGUCUCCUCUGUCCAACUCUAAUCUUCAUCUGGCUGGUUUACAGCAUGGGUUACAUUAUGGUGGAAAUCUGGCCCAGAUCACGUCUCCUGGCCU